AGCGAACGCUGGCGGCAGGCCUAACACAUGCAAGUCGAGCGGCCGUAGCAAUACGGCAGCGGCAGACGGGAGAGUAACACGUGGGAACGCGCCCUUCGGUUCGGAAUAACUCAGGGAAACUUGAGCUAAUACCGGAUACGCCCUUACGGGGAAAGAUUUAUUGCCGAAGGAACGGCCCGCGUCCGAUUAGCUUGUUGGUGAGGUAACGGCUCACCAAGGCGACGAUCGGUAGCUGGUCUGAGAGGAUGACCAGCCUCACUGGGACUGAGACACGGCCCAGACUCCUACGGGAGGCAGCAGUGGGGAAUAUUGGACAAUGGGCGCAAGCCUGAUCCAGCCAUGCCGCGUGGGUGAUGAAGGCCUUAGGGUUGUAAAGCCCCUUCAGCGGGGAAGAUAAUGACGGUACCCGCAGAAGAAGCCCCGGCUAACUUCGUGCCAGCCGCCGCUGUAAUAC
rnacentral:rRNA from 1 species